rnacentral:rRNA from 1 species
GUAACGGCGAGUGAAGCGGCAACAGCUCAAAUUUGAAAUCUGGCUCUCGGGCCCGAGUUGUAAUUUGUAGAGGAUGCUUUUGGUGAGGUGCCUUCCGAGUUCCCUGGAACGGGACGCCAUAGAGGGUGAGAGCCCCGUCUGGUUGGACACCGAUCCUCUGUAAAGCUCCUUCGACGAGUCGAGUAGUUUGGGAAUGCUGCUCUAAAUGGGAGGUAUAUGUCUUCUAAAGCUAAAUACCGGCCAGAGACCGAUAGCGCACAAGUAGAGUGAUCGAAAGAUGAAAAGAACUUUGAAAAGAGAGUUAAACAGUACGUGAAAUUGUUGAAAGGGAAGCGCUUGUGACCAGACUUGGGCUUGGUUGAUCAUCCGGGGUUCUCCCCGGUGCACUCUUCCGGCCCAGGCCAGCAUCAGUUCGCCCUGGGGGACAAAGGCUUCGGGAAUGUGGCUCUCUCCGGGGAGUGUUAUAGCCCGUUGCGUAAUACCCUGUGGCGGACUGAGGUUCGCGCAUUCGCAAGGAUGCUGGCGUAAUGGUCAUCAGUGACCCGUCUUGAAACACGGACCAAGGAGUCGUCUUCGUAUGCGAGUGUUCGGGUGUCAAACCCCUACGCGAAAUGAAAGUGAACGCAGGUGAGAGCUUCGGCGCAUCAUCGACCGAUCCUGAUGUUAUCGGAUGGAUUUGAGUAAGAGCAUACGGGGCCGGACCCGAAAGAAGGUGAACUAUGCCUGUGUAGGGUGAAGCCAGAGGAAACUCUGGUGGAGGCUCGCAGCGGUUCUGACGUGCAAAUCGAUCGUCAAACAUGGGCAUGGGGGCGAAAGACUAAUCGAACCUUCUAGUAGCUGGUUUCCGCCGAAGUUUCCCUCAGGAUAGCAGUGUUGAACUCAGUUUUAUGAGGUAAAGCGAAUGAUUAGGGACUCGGGGGCGCUAUUUAGCCUUCAUCCAUUCUCAAACUUUAAAUAUGUAAGAAGCCCUUGUUGCUUAAU